AGAAUCAACGCUGGCGGCGUGCCUAACACAUGCAAGUCGAACGAGAAAGGGUAGCAAUACCUGAGUAAAGUGGCGCACGGGUGAGUAACACGUGACUAACCUACCCUGGAGUGGGGGAUAACUGAGGGAAACCUUAGCUAAUACCGCAUAAUACCUACGGGUCAAAGGAGCAAUUCGCUUCAGGAGGGGGUCGCGGCCGAUUAGUUAGUUGGCGGGGUAAUGGCCCACCAAGACAGUGAUCGGUAUCCGGCCUGAGAGGGCGCACGGACACACUGGAACUGAAACACGGUCCAGACUCCUACGGGAGGCAGCAGUGGGGAAUUUUGCGCAAUGGGGGAACCCUGACGCAGCAACGCCGCGUGGAGGAUGAAGUCCUUCGGGACGUAAACUCCUUUCGAUCGGGACGAUAAUGACGGUACCGGAGAAGAGCCCGGCUAACUUCGCGCCAGCAGCCGC
rnacentral:rRNA from 1 species